UGGACCAUCAAAGAUUCUCUAACUCUAGUAAAAUGAUUUAGGAACAUGGAAUAGAUGAUUGAGAAGAUUUUUUUGUUUUAUGAUCAAGAAGAAAUAGCAAAUGAUAGCUAAAUAUUGCAACGAUAUGGUAAUAAGAGAGGAGAUUUGUCAUGGAAGAAGAGGAUCAAAGAAAUCAAAAUCCCUUGCAAGAUUGGAUGUUAUCUUCCAAGUGG
rnacentral:lncRNA from 1 species